rnacentral:rRNA from 1 species
UACGAAGGGGGACUAGCGUUGUUCGGAAUUACUGGGCGUAAAGCGCACGUAGGCGGAUUUAUGAGCAGGGGGUGAAAUCCCGGGGCUCAACCUCGGAACUGCCUUUGAUACUGCAAAUCUCGAGUCCGAUAGAGGUGGGUGGAAUUCCUAGUGUAGAGGUGAAAUUCGUAGAUAUUAGGAAGAACACCGAUGGCGAAGGCAGCCCCCUGGGCCAAUACUGACGCUCAUGCACGAAAGCGUGGGGAGCAAACAGG